UGGGGAAUCUUGGACAAUGGGGGCAACCCUGAUCCAGCCAUGCCGCGUGAGUGAAGAAGGUCUUAGGAUCGUAAAGCUCUUUCGCCGGGGAAGAUAAUGACUGUACCCGGUAAAGAAACCCCGGCUAACUCCGUGCCAGCAGCCGCGGUAAUACGGAGGGGGUUAGCGUUGUUCGGAAUUACUGGGCGUAAAGGGCACGUAGGCGGGUCUGCAAGUUGGGGGUGAAAUCCCGGGGCUCAACCCCGGAAUGGCCUUCAAAACUGCGGGUCUUGAGUUCGAGAGAGGUGAGUGGAAUUCCGAGUGUAGAGGUGAAAUUCGUAGAUAUUCGGAGGAACACCAGUGGCGAAGGCGGCUCACUGGCUCGACACUGACGCUGAGGUGCGAAAGCGUGGGGAGCAAACAG
rnacentral:rRNA from 1 species